rnacentral:rRNA from 1 species
CAGUCGCCACGGGAAUACAGAGGGUGCAAGCGUUAAUCGGAAUUACUGGGCGUAAAGCGCGCGUAGGUGGUUCGCCAAGUUGGAUGUGAAAUCCCCGGGCUCAACCUGGGAACUGCAUCCAAAACUGGCGAGCUAGAGUAUGGUAGAGGGUGGUGGAAUUUCCUGUGUAGCGGUGAAAUGCGUAGAUAUAGGAAGGAACAUCAGUGGCGAAGGCGACCACCUGGACUGAUACUGACACUGAGGUGCGAAAGCGUGGGGAGCAAACAGGAUUAGAGACCCGAGUAGUCCCUGUCUCUUAUAC